UUGCGAGGAAACUUGAAAGGAAUUAUAUGAAUGAGUUGGAGAACAUAUCACUUAAAUAUUGACAAAAUUGUAACCUUUAAACAGCAGUAAUUUGGAAAUCUAAUGGGCUAUAAUAGAAUACUUUUCUCUGAAUUGUCCUGGGUUGGGAGUGAUCAGUCUUAAAUGAUCAUGAAGAGAGCAAAGGGGUAUCAGCACCACUGUUGAAAUGGCAUGAAAAUCACACUAGGUAUGAAAGAGCUGAAUUGGGGUCUGCUUAUGUGAGAGAAACUAGGGGAACCUUUAGAGGGAGAAGUAAAAUACCCAAAGCCUCUGAUCUCAGCAGUAGGAUGUAUGCUACAAAAAUAUUCUUGGAAAAUUAAAUGGAAGAGCAGUCAUUUUAAUCUCGGGGAAUCAAGAUUUUGUAGCUGGAGAGAGUGAAGUCAGGAGCAGUAGUACCAGUGACAGCAAUGAGAAUCCG
rnacentral:lncRNA from 1 species